CCUACGGGAGGCAGCAGUAAGGAAUCUUGCGCAAUGGGCGAAAGCCUGACGCAGCGACGCCGCGUGGGCGAUGAAGGCCUUCGGGUUGUAAAGCCCUUUUCUGGGGGACGAGGAAGGACGGUACCCCAGGAAUAAGUCACGGCUAACUACGUGCCAGCAGCCGCGGUAAGACAGAGGUGGCAAGCGUUGUUCGGAUUUACUGGGCUUAAAGGGCGUGUAGGCGUUCUGAUAAGUUAGAUGUGGAAUCCCCGAGCUUAACUCGGGAAUUGCAUCUAAAACUGUCAGGAUUGAGUCAUACAUGGGAGGGCGGAAUUCCUGGUGUAGCGGUGAAAUGCGUAGACAUCAGGAGGAAGGCCGGUGGCGAAGGCGGCCCUCGGGGUAAUGACUGACGCUGAGGCGCGAAAGCGUGGGGAGCAAACAGGAUUAGAUACCCUGGUAGU
rnacentral:rRNA from 1 species